rnacentral:rRNA from 1 species
AGCGGUGGAGCAUGUGGUUUAAUUCGAUGCAACGCGAAGAACCUUACCUGGUCUUGACAUCCACGGAAGUUUUCAGAGAUGAGAAUGUGCCUUCGGGAACCGUGAGACAGGUGCUGCAUGGCUGUCGUCAGCUCGUGUUGUGAAAUGUUGGGUUAAGUCCCGCAACGAGCGCAACCCUUAUCCUUUGUUGCCAGCGGUCCGGCCGGGAACUCAAAGGAGACUGCCAGUGAUAAACUGGAGGAAGGUGGGGAUGACGUCAAGUCAUCAUGGCCCUUACGACCAGGGCUACACACGUGCUACAAUGGCGCAUACAAAGAGAAGCGACCUCGCGAGAGCAAGCGGACCUCAUAAAGUGCGUCGUAGUCCGGAUUGGAG